UACGUAGGUGGCAAGCGUUGUCCGGAUUUACUGGGCGUAAAGAGCGCGCAGGCGGUUGAUUAAGUCGAAUGUGAAAGCCCCCGGCUCAACUGGGGAGGGUCACUCGAUACUGAUCGACUGGAAGGCAGGAGAGGGAAGCGGAAUUCCCGGUGUAGUGGUGAAAUGCGUAGAUAUCGGGAGGAACACCAGUGGCGAAGGCGGCUUCCUGGCCUGUUCUUGACGCUGAGGCGCGAAAGCUAGGGGAGCAAACGGG
rnacentral:rRNA from 1 species